CAGUUCUUUUUUGUUUGGAAUAUGAUGAAAUUUUAGGCCACAUGUGUAAUAGGUUUCGGGGGGUUGUUGAAUAUUCUUAGAGAAGGAGCCUGAGGCUGGGCUAACCUAAAGCCUAUUGCUUGUCUCAAUAACUGGGAGGCAGAGUUUUCCUCAUUACAGUUUUUUUUUUUUUUUUUUUUUUUUUUUGGUCAUGUCCAGAGAUGAAGUGCAGGACAAUCCACCAAAAAUCAGCUCUUUGAAAAUAUUUAAGCCAGAAAAAGUGUAGAAUCUUAAUGAAGUGAAUGUUACAAUGGAGCAUAAAAUACUCUCUGAGUUUGGCUUAAUGCCAUUUGAUGAUGAUCACUUGCAACCCACGGUUUGCUCACUUUUAUUUAUCAGUGGAAGCAUUUUAUUAUAGCAGCUCUAUCUCGUGCUUUGUAGCUGGAGGAGAUUAUUUGGGGGAGUUGUGACGUAACCUGGAGCUAAGCAGAGGGGGGGAAGUCGAUUUCGUUUGAGGAACACACACAGGGAUGGAGAGAGAGAGAGAUGUGCCCACAUUCCUGCCUGCAACUGUUCUGAUCUUUGUAGAUGAUCUAAUGAGAGGACAAACUAGGCAGAAAUAACCUGCGCAGCCAGGUCUUUGCUCGGUGUGGUGUUUCAUUUGUCUUCAAAGAAAAGUCGGGUGGGGGGGUGAUCUGUCGGCCACAGAGGCUUUUUUGGAGGGGGGGGUGUUUCCAGCAGGAGCGCAGAUGAAGAAGAAGAACAGGGGGAUUAUUCCGGGAGACGCAUGGUUUAUGAAACUGGCUGUUCUCGUGCGUAAAUGGCAAGAGUUGCAUUGGAGUGAAUCAAAGGGGAAAGCGAGAGAGAGCGAGGAGGAAGGAGAGAGAGAGAAAACAGAGACAGAGGGAGAGAGAGAGUGAGAGGGGGGAAAGUGACGGAGCGACGGAGCAAUAUAGUGGAGAACUGGAAGAGAGAGAGAGAGUGAGAGAGAGAGGGAGGGAAAACGAGAGCUGCGAGGCGACUUGGUCGGCAGUGUUUGCCUCUGCCUCUCCAGCUAUGGGAGAGACAUGUGCGUAACAUGCAGCGGGGAGCUGUGAUCAUCAUCUGCGCGCCGCAUCGCCGUGUGGACCGCGCCGUGCGCACUCGAAGACGGAGCCGCACUGAAUAAGGGGCGCAGCCCGCUCCGCCGGACCUGUCGCGAGCGAGACUCUAACGGUUAAGCCGACGAGAGACUCUUGAAGAAGAAGAGGGAGAAGAAAAGAAAAGAAAGCAAGAGGGAGCGGAAAGAUGUCAGCCCCUCAGACUGUGAUUGGGGGUUAAUCGCCCCCCGUGUGUUUGGAGCCACUCUGACGCACCGGGCGGCGAAAGCGAGCGCGCGUCUACACAUAUUUUUGGUUGUUUUACGGAUUCCCAGCCCUCUUUAUCACGCCCAAACCCGGACUAUCAAGUGAGGAUUUUGCAGGAAAGGUGGCGGGGAUGUUGAAUUACACCAGUGCGUGUCUGUGAGCUGAGGUGGAGUCUCUCUCUCCCGCUGCACGGCUUGUCUCGGUCCGCCACGAACCCUCCUACGCCAGGAUGCAGCUGCUCAGAGUUGCGUGGGCACUGACCGGAGCGGCGAUUUGCUGCUUUCUCAUUCUCCUCAUUCACUCCCGCCUGCUCAAAGAAGGCCAGCUGGCAGCGGGGACAUGUGAGAUUGUGACGCUGGACAGGGACAGCAGCCAACCACGGCGGACCAUCGCCAGGCAGACGGCCCGCUGUGCCUGUAAGAAGGGCCAGAUCGCUGGAACUACAAGAGCCAGGCCCGCCUGUGUGGACGCUGGUAUUGUUCGGAAAAAGCAGUGGUGUGAGAUGGUGCCAUGUUUGGAGGACGAAGGUUGUGACCUGUUAGUCAAUAAAUCUGGCUGGACUUGUACACAGCCCGGAGGCCGAGUCAAAACCACCACGGCUCUAUGACGCGACAAGAGUCCCCCUCGACACUCUUGCACUAUGGAGAGCAUUGAUGACCCCUUGACAGACAGCCAAACACCAUCUACCACCAACACCACCACCAACAACAACAGCAGCAACAACAACAUCACAACAACUCCACCCAAACCCUGGUCCCACAAAGGCAGGAAGCAACACAAGAGCACCAGGGGCCUCUUGGAGGCAGCAAGGUCUCAUAACACAGCCAGAGGCGGGAAAACCAGGGAGUGACUGUUUGAGGGAGUAAGCUCUCCCCUGGACACUGAACAAACUACUCACUGUAAAACACUUCCUAUUUCCUGUGACCAGCUCCUCCGGGUUUGUGACUGCUCCCUCCUGCUAUCUGUCGUUGGGUCAACAUAUUGCAUCCACCUCCUCUCCACUCUAUCUGCCUGCUCUGUGAAAUUAGCAGCGCCUGCUCGUGCCACGGAGGAUCGGACACCUUAAAAUCCCACAAAUGGUUUUUGCCUCACUGGAAGUCCUCUGUUUGGAGCUACUAACUGCUUUAAAUAAAGAGGAUUUUCCACUUCUGUCUCCUAGCCUCUAGAGCAGGAGUUCCAGAGCAUAGAUGGGAUCAUUACAGACCAGACCCUGUUGCUUCUCGGACCACCUCACGAGGCCGUAAAACAAACUCGAACUGAGCGCUCUCUGCUGUGAAUAGGCCUUCUGCUGGAGUAAACCUCCCAUAUUUUUAUAGACCAAAGAGCAAAACAACAAAUACGAUCAUUAUUACAGAGCGGACCAUCUGGCAGACACACAGAGACUUUGUGAACUUGCUGCUUGUGUCGCCACCAGCCAAUGACUUGCCCCCCCACCCCAACCCCCACACCCCACCCCCACAGAGACACGGUGCACAAGAGGACAAACCCCGAGCUCCAGCAACACAUGUACUGUGCACAAUCAAAAGGAGUACUUUUAGAACCUUCCAGACAUUUUUUUCUCAGACUGAGCCCACCACUGUAUUUUGGAACUGGAGAUAUAGGUACUACAUACGUAUAACUGUGUAUCAAAAAAAAAAAAAAAAAAAGGAAAAAAAAAAAAAAGAAAAGAAAAAAAUCUGAUUUGCAUUUUUCAGUAGCUACGGUUGGGACAGCUUGCAGAAGAAUUGUUGGGUUGGUCACGGAUAAGGAGCGCAAAUCAUAUCAGAGAAAUGAUGAAUAUUUACAGAGAGUAUAAAUGCUGUUGAGUCUGAAAAGAAGGAGGAAAGAAAUGUCAUUAAAUGUAUUUUGAAAGGCCCUAAAAAGUUAUAUAUUUAACAGUUUUAUAUGUUGUACCUUUGUAGAGAAGCUUAUUGGACUUAAAAUGUGGUCACAAUGGCAGUUUAGUAGGAUGUGAACAAAUGCUGUUGUUCUCAUGACUGCUGGCUUGUAGUCCCAGGUUUUCUGUUCACACCUCAGUAGCCGCUUUCUUUUCAUGAUCAUCAACAAGUCACUGUCUAUCAGAACCAUUCAUGGAAAAAAAAGGAAAGUGACACAAUUUAUUGAGGACUGAUCUGCAGCCAACUGAACAUUGUAAAUCUAUGGUAGUCAGUGGAAGCCAUUGAAAUCUGCUAAUUUGCUAUGAUAUUGUAUUGUACACGGUGUGGAAUACUGACUCAUUUCCUCUCUAUGGGUUUUGAUCUCUUAAUUUAUUUUUGUGCUUGUGUUUGUUCGCACAAAUCGGGCCUCUCUCCAACAGCGAGGAAUACAAUGAGGAGAGAGAGAGAAAAGAGAAAGAAGAGGAAGCGUUGCAGAAGUAUUAGAGUCAUUUACAUACAUUUUUUUAUCAUGAAAUAUUUUAAGAAUAAAUUAAAUACAUGAAAAGAAA